AAUAACAACCUGAGGACGCUGAGCAUUUCUGAGGUGCUACCACCCUGGAGUCACCACUUCAAGCAUGAGGAAGUGUUCUGACAUUUCCUUCUGCAGCUGUCUACAGUCUGGGUGAACCUCUCUUCUCAGAAACUGAGCACAUUGCUCCACAUAUUGAGUAUACAUCAUCAGCUCCGCUGCACAGGACUUGUCUCCAGUGUAAUGCUUUGGCUCCAUCAUACCAGACAUUGAAGAUGGUCUUCAGAAAGGUGAUGUCAUUCCCUGGUGAAGACAGUGAAAUGAAGAAAAUGGUAGCUGCUAGGCACACUGCAGGAUAUAACUGCCUAGUCCAAAGGCACUCACGUGGAAUCCAGGGGUUCCUGAAGCAAAACAUGCCUGGAAGUACAUUUCUCUUUUAGCUGCUGGUAAUGUUCAUGCCUGUGCAGUACAACCCUUGUAAUAGGGUAAUGGAUACCAGAAAUGAAGCUGAAGUUCAGCUCCAGCUGAAGUUCUUUAUAUAUUCUCUUGCAUUCAUCAAAGAAACAGAUUGAAAUGGAAGUUCACAUCUCCUUCAGACAACAGCAGGGAUUGUGCAAUAGCCAGCAAGAAAAGAACAAACUAUAUUUUACUCACCACAAAAAGUAUAUGACAAGUCCAGAU